UCCUUGUGCCAUAUAUAGAGCCAGAGAACAGCCACAGUGGAAAACAAGAUAUGGUCCCUGCCUUGUGGAAUUGAAAGUCUAGGGGUGAUUUUUAAAUGGGAUUACAUAAUUAUAGAGUAAAAUGAAGUGGAAAACUCUGUCUCUACAAGAGGAAAGGGGAAAUAUACAGCAGGAAGUAGAUGCUGUGUUGUCACGACAGCUCUUCAAGAUGGUGUUGAUUAUGGUCAUUUUACAAAUGAGGAAACUGAAGGUCAGAGAAGGCAGACAGCUUCUCUGAGUCACUAUAUGGAGGAGACCAAAGCCAGAGUGUGAUAGCCAAGGUCUCGCUCUGCUGCCCAGGUUGGAGUGCAGUGGCCUGACCACAACUCACUGCAACCUCAAUCUCCUUGGCUCAAGCAAUCCUCCUGCCUCAGCCUCCUGAGUAGCUGGGACUACAGAUGUGUGCCAUCACUACUGGCUGAUGUAGAGAUGGGGUCUUUCUAUGUUGCCCAAGCUGUCAGUCCUGAGAAUUUUGAUAAGUCUGUCUUCAAACAUUUCAUCAUAUCUAGCAAUUUGUCAAAAAUAUAGAUUUACUCAAAAUGUCAACUUCACAUCCCAGAGUCCUUGGGUAGUACAUAAUAUACAUAACAUGGGUAUUAGCCACAGUUCUCAAAGAGGAGAAAGAGUAAAGAAAAAUAAAGAUCCCUAACUAAUUAGAAAUGUCUGGUCUAUUUAUACAAGAAGUUAACAUUGGAGAUGUGGAACGUAUUCUGGAGUCAGAAGAAAUGAAUCAAAACACUCUGAGGGUAACUGGAGUAUUCUAUGCAUAUAUUCCUGAACUAUUUGUGUGUGUAUAGCUAUUGUUCUAUUUAAUUUUGUAUUGGAUCCAAGGGGUUCCAGCAUUCAUCAGUAGUCAUGAUAGAUUUGAACAAUAUGAACAGAGAAUUAUAUACCAGGCAGGAGCAUAUCAAACUAAUGCAUUGACAAGGGCAAUUCUUAGUGAUGUAUACUCUUUGCCUCAUGCAGUGAUUAUUGUGAUUUUUCUUUUCUUUCUUUGAGAAAUCAGUUAGAUUUACCAAAAAUAGCCAUACAUUUUAUAACAGAGUAUAGAGAGGGUGACUUUCUCCCAGCAUUACUUUAAAAAAAUCAAGUGAGAAAUCACUCAGGUUAAGAAAACCAUCUUACCUC